GCUCUUUUGGCGGGGACGAUGAUGACGGUACCCGCAGAAUAAGCCCCGGCUAACUUCGUGCCAGCAGCCGCGGUAAGACGAAGGGGGCUAGCGUUGUUCGGAAUUACUGGGCGUAAAGCGAGUGUAGGUGGUUGUUCAAGUUGGAUGUGAAAGCCUUGAGCUCAACUCAAGAAAUGCAUUCAGGACUGAGCGACUAGAGGACCGGAGAGGAUAGUGGAAUUCCCAGUGUAGUGGUGAAAUACGUAGAGAUUGGGAAGAACACCAGUGGCGAAGGCGGCUAUCUGGACGGUUUCUGACACUAAGACUCGAAAGCGUGGGGAGCAAACAGGAUUAGAUACCCUGGUAGUCCACGCCGU
rnacentral:rRNA from 1 species